GUCUUUGUUCGUGUGCUCGAGUGUGGGAUGUAACAGGCAUCCAACGAUUAAAACAAUAAUUUCUUCAGCCACGAAAUUGCGGACUCCAAUUCCUCUCGACCAGUACUGGCUUCGCUCGAUUACUCCGCGAUAAAAUCUACGGUAAUUGGUAGCCGGGUUUGACUGUUCGAUGCUGGAUCUCGGCCCGGUUGUUCCCUUGCGUUAGUCUUUGCCGAUUUACGUUGUACCCACCGAGUGUUUACGAGUGUUUACGAUGGUGUAUUUCUGUUCAUAUACGUGUGUGUGGCACAUACUCGCUCGCACACGCACACACACACGCACAAAUAAAACAAGAGUAUGAUAUCAGAUGGUCAUUGAUAUUUUAACUUUCCCUUAUACAUAUUACAAAUUAUAUUUUUAAGAGGAUUAGCGAAUCUGAUUACUUAUCAUCGAAUGCAAUUAAUACGAUAUAAAUGAAGCCUCGCGUAUAUAUAUGUAUUUCACGAGCAAAAUACAUGAAUGAAUAAACAACAUUAUUAUUAAAAAAAAAAAAAAAA